rnacentral:rRNA from 1 species
GACGAACGCUGGCGGCGUGGAUUAGGCAUGCAAGUCGAACGGUAUCAUCCUUUCGGGGGUGAGAGAGUGGCGAACUGGUGAGUAACACGUAGGUUAUCUACCCUCAAGACGGGGACAACCCAGGGAAACUUGGGCUAAUACCGGAUGUGAGCAACUUUUAGUUGUUUGAAAGGUGGCGUAAGCUGUCGCUUGGGGAUGGGCCUGCGUCCUAUUAGUUAGUUGGUGAGGUAACGGCUCACCUAGGCAAUGAUAGGUAGGCGGCCUUAACGGGUGGUCGCCCACACUGGGAUUGAGAUACGGCCCAGACUCCUACGGGAGGCAGCAGUCGAGAAUAGUCUACAAUGGUCGGAAGACUGAUAGUGCGACGCCGCGUGAACGAUGAAUCCCUUCGGGGUGUAAAGUUCUUUUAUAUGUGAGCAGUGCUUCUUAUAUUAACAGUAUGGGGAGAGAGAUAUUAGCAUAUGAAUAAGCAACGGCUAACUCCGUGCCAGCAGCCGCGGUAAAAUCACG